CCGAAAGGGUACAUACAGACUGGAGAGGCCUGGACGAGAGAAAGGUGCUUCUGGAGGAGAGCAUGUUGCUACAAUGACUUUGAAGAGGAAUUUAAGAAUAUCAAGUAGAUUUGAAGAUGGCCAAAUCUCCCAAUACAGCAAAACCAGGUCUACGUAGCCACUCUGGAAAGAGUUUUGGGUGCACAGGGAGACGGGUACGAAAAUGUCCAUUGCAUUCCCGUUUGUGAGAGUGAGAAAGUAGAAAUGAAGAUUAUUGCAAGAAUGAAGAUCUAUAGCUGUGGGUUAUUUAGCCAGGAAAAAAAAAAAAAUCAUUCAGCAGCAGUUCAAACGUACCAGAUGCAUGCCUAAUACUUCUCACGUUGCUUUAUGUAGGCCACCUCCAUGGGGUAUGUAGUAUCUACUCCUUUCGAUCUGCCCUGACAAUUCCCUGCCAUCUUUUGGCCCAGAUGAGGCAGCAGACACUUCAAGGGCCUCCCUGCUCCCUACUGGCCCCCCCCGGGGGGGAGGGGGGCAUCCAGCAGCCAAAGGCAUCUUUCUAAGAGAUACACCUGACAUCGUCACUUGACUACUUAAAACCCUCUGAUGACCAUGGCCUACAAACAAAGCCCAAAUGCCCUCGCUGAGCUCACACAAACAUCACUUAUCAUCCCACCACCCUUUCCAAACCAGCCUCGCAGGAUUGUUCAUGGUUCACCAGACAUGCCAGCUUCUCAGCCACCAUGCCUUGGUCAUUGGAUUUGCUCCGUCUCCCUGAAGCGAGCUCUCCUUACUCGGGCCCUUCUCAUCCACAUGGAUCCCCCUGGCAAAUUGAACCCAAAGAUCCAGGAGCUCCAGCCUGCUGGGUUCAUCAUGGGAGAACUGCAGUAGGAGAGAACCUCACCCGGCCCCCCCCCAGGAGGAGCCCAUUCCACAGAUGCUCAAAGCCAAACUCCUCCACUUUCCUACAUGGCCCAGAGAAUCAGCCAAGAAGAAGGAGCCUGGAUUGCAGAGGAAAGAGGACAACUGGGAGAGUGAAGUUGGACACAGCCAGGGAAGAAGAAGCAGUAUCAAAUGCUACUGAAUGUUCUCGUAGGCAGGUUUGUCCGAAAGACAGCACAUGGCUGUCUCGUGGACAAUGACACAGUCCCUGCCCAAGCAGUGUCAGGGUUGUCCCCUUGUAAAGCUUUUUAAAAAUCUUUAUGAUGACACCUUCUCAUGGAAGUUCGAUCCUAUAAAGUGGAAGUUCUCUCAGCCUGGAGUGCACCCGGACAGGUUUGGGCAUGUGCACUUGUGGGCUGAAGGAGCUGGGAGCUGCUAUGCCCAAUGGAAGGAAGAGCAUUUAGACAACCCGGGGAGGGAGGGGAGAGAAUCAGAAAGGGCAAGGAGAGAGAGAAACCACUAAGUGGGGGAAGGUGGGGCAGCUGCAGGCAAGGAGGCAAGUCAGAGUUUGAAAAUAAGAAAGAGGGUGCCUGGGUGGCUCAGUGUUUGAGCGUCUGCCUUAGACUCAGGUCAUGAUUCCGUGGUCCUGGGGUCAAG